GGGUUGUGAGGUUAAGCGACUAAGCGUACACGGUGGAUGCCCUGGCAGUCAGAGGCGAUGAAGGACGUGCUAAUCUGCGAUAAGCGUCGGUAAGGUGAUAUGAACCGUUAUAACCGGCGAUUUCCGAAUGGGGAAACCCAGUGUGAUUCGUCACACUAUCAUUAACUGAAUCCAUAGGUUAAUGAGGCGAACCGGGGGAACUGAAACAUCUAAGUACCCCGAGGAAAAGAAAUCAACCGAGAUUCCCCCAGUAGCGGCGAGCGAACGGGGAGCAGCCCAGAGCCUGAAUCAGUGUGUGUGUUAGUGGAAGCGUCUGGAAAGGCGCGCGAUACAGGGUGACAGCCCCGUACACAAAAAUGCACAUGCUGUGAGCUCGAUGAGUAGGGCGGGACACGUGGUAUCCUGUCUGAAUAUGGGGGGACCAUCCUCCAAGGCUAAAUACUCCUGACUGACCGAUAGUGAACCAGUACCGUGAGGGAAAGGCGAAAAGAACCCCGGCGAGGGGAGUGAAAAAGAACCUGAAACCGUGUACGUACAAGCAGUGGGAGCACGCUUAGGCGUGUGACUGCGUACCUUUUGUAUAAUGGGUCAGCGACUUAUAUUCUGUAGCAAGGUUAACCGAAUAGGGGAGCCGAAGGGAAACCGAGUCUUAACUGGGCGUUAAGUUGCAGGGUAUAGACCCGAAACCCGGUGAUCUAGCCAUGGGCAGGUUGAAGGUUGGGUAACACUAACUGGAGGACCGAACCGACUAAUGUUGAAAAAUUAGCGGAUGACUUGUGGCUGGGGGUGAAAGGCCAAUCAAACCGGGAGAUAGCUGGUUCUCCCCGAAAGCUAUUUAGGUAGCGCCUCGUGAAUUCAUCUCCGGGGGUAGAGCACUGUUUCGGCAAGGGGGUCAUCCCGACUUACCAACCCGAUGCAAACUGCGAAUACCGGAGAAUGUUAUCACGGGAGACACACGGCGGGUGCUAACGUCCGUCGUGAAGAGGGAAACAACCCAGACCGCCAGCUAAGGUCCCAAAGUCAUGGUUAAGUGGGAAACGAUGUGGGAAGGCCCAGACAGCCAGGAUGUUGGCUUAGAAGCAGCCAUCAUUUAAAGAAAGCGUAAUAGCUCACUGGUCGAGUCGGCCUGCGCGGAAGAUGUAACGGGGCUAAACCAUGCACCGAAGCUGCGGCAGCGACGCUGAUGCGUUGUUGGGUAGGGGAGCGUUCUGUAAGCCUGUGAAGGUGUACUGUGAGGUAUGCUGGAGGUAUCAGAAGUGCGAAUGCUGACAUAAGUAACGAUAAAGCGGGUGAAAAGCCCGCUCGCCGGAAGACCAAGGGUUCCUGUCCAACGUUAAUCGGGGCAGGGUGAGUCGACCCCUAAGGCGAGGCCGAAAGGCGUAGUCGAUGGGAAACAGGUUAAUAUUCCUGUACUUGGUGUUACUGCGAAGGGGGGACGGAGAAGGCUAUGUUGGCCGGGCGACGGUUGUCCCGGUUUAAGCGUGUAGGCUGGUUUUCCAGGCAAAUCCGGAAAAUCAAGGCUGAGGCGUGAUGACGAGGCACUACGGUGCUGAAGCAACAAAUGCCCUGCUUCCAGGAAAAGCCUCUAAGCAUCAGGUAACAUCAAAUCGUACCCCAAACCGACACAGGUGGUCAGGUAGAGAAUACCAAGGCGCUUGAGAGAACUCGGGUGAAGGAACUAGGCAAAAUGGUGCCGUAACUUCGGGAGAAGGCACGCUGAUAUGUAGGUGAAGUCCCUUGCGGAUGGAGCUGAAAUCAGUCGAAGAUACCAGCUGGCUGCAACUGUUUAUUAAAAACACAGCACUGUGCAAACACGAAAGUGGACGUAUACGGUGUGACGCCUGCCCGGUGCCGGAAGGUUAAUUGAUGGGGUCAGCGCAAGCGAAGCUCUUGAUCGAAGCCCCGGUAAACGGCGGCCGUAACUAUAACGGUCCUAAGGUAGCGAAAUUCCUUGUCGGGUAAGUUCCGACCUGCACGAAUGGCGUAAUGAUGGCCAGGCUGUCUCCACCCGAGACUCAGUGAAAUUGAACUCGCUGUGAAGAUGCAGUGUACCCGCGGCAAGACGGAAAGACCCCGUGAACCUUUACUAUAGCUUGACACUGAACAUUGAGCCUUGAUGUGUAGGAUAGGUGGGAGGCUUUGAAGUGUGGACGCCAGUCUGCAUGGAGCCGACCUUGAAAUACCACCCUUUAAUGUUUGAUGUUCUAACGUGGACCCGUGAUCCGGGUUGCGGACAGUGUCUGGUGGGUAGUUUGACUGGGGCGGUCUCCUCCUAAAGAGUAACGGAGGAGCACGAAGGUUGGCUAAUCCUGGUCGGACAUCAGGAGGUUAGUGCAAUGGCAUAAGCCAGCUUGACUGCGAGCGUGACGGCGCGAGCAGGUGCGAAAGCAGGUCAUAGUGAUCCGGUGGUUCUGAAUGGAAGGGCCAUCGCUCAACGGAUAAAAGGUACUCCGGGGAUAACAGGCUGAUACCGCCCAAGAGUUCAUAUCGACGGCGGUGUUUGGCACCUCGAUGUCGGCUCAUCACAUCCUGGGGCUGAAGUAGGUCCCAAGGGUAUGGCUGUUCGCCAUUUAAAGUGGUACGCGAGCUGGGUUUAGAACGUCGUGAGACAGUUCGGUCCCUAUCUGCCGUGGGCGCUGGAGAACUGAGGGGGGCUGCUCCUAGUACGAGAGGACCGGAGUGGACGCAUCACUGGUGUUCGGGUUGUCAUGCCAAUGGCACUGCCCGGUAGCUAAAUGCGGAAGAGAUAAGUGCUGAAAGCAUCUAAGCACGAAACUUGCCCCGAGAUGAGUUCUCCCUGACUCCUUGAGAGUCCUGAAGGAACGUUGAAGACGACGACGUUGAUAGGCCGGGUGUGUAAGCGCAGCGAUGCGUUGAGCUAACCGGUACUAAUGAACCGUGAGGCUUAACCUUACAACGCCGAAGCUGUU
rnacentral:rRNA from 1 species